rnacentral:rRNA from 1 species
UACGUAGGGGGCGAGCGUUGUCCGGAGUUACUGGGCGUAAAGAGCGUGUAGGCUGUUAGUUAAGUCAGGUGUGAAAUGCUAAGGCUCAACCUUGGAACUGCGCCUGAAACUGAUUGACUGGAGUCUUGGAGGGGCAACCGGAAUUCCUGGUGUAACGGUGAAAUGUGUAGAUAUCAGGAGGAACACCUGUGGCGAAGGCGGGUUGCUGGACAAUGACUGACGCUGAGACGCGAAAGCGUGGGUAGCAAAC